rnacentral:tRNA from 1 species
UCUUGGAUAGCUUAAGUGAGAGCUCUUGGCGCGUAACCAAAAGUUCUGGGUUCGAUUCACGGUCUAGGCU